rnacentral:rRNA from 1 species
ACUGGUCUCGCUGAUCCCUCCCUCUUGACAAACUGUGAUGCCUUUAAUUUGGUGUCACAGGGAACCAGGACUGUUACUUUGAAAAAAUUAAAUUGUUUAAACCAGGCUUUCCCUUGAAUACAUUAGCAUGGAAUAAUGAAAUAGGACGUUUGAUCCUAUUUUGUUGGUUUCUAGGACUGACGUAUUGAUUAAUAGGGAUAUUUGGGGGCAUUAGUAUUCAAUUGUCAGAGGUGAAAUUCUUGGAUUUAUUGAAAACUAACUACUGCUAAAGCAUUUGCCAAGGAUGUUUUCAUUAAUCAAGAACGAAAGUUAGGGGAGCGAACACGAUCCGAUACCGUCGUGGUCUUAACCAUAAACUAUGCCGACUAGGGAUCGGAUGAUGUUAAUUUUUUAAUGACUCAUUCGGCGCCUUACC